rnacentral:rRNA from 1 species
AUUCCAGCUCCAAUGGCGUAUAUUAAGGCUGUUGCGGUUAAGAAGCUCGUAGUUGGAUUUCUGCCGAGGACGACCGGUCUGCCCACUGGGUGUGUAUCUGGUUCGGCCUGGGCAUCUUCUUGGAGAACGUAUCUGCACUUGACUGUGUGGUGCGGUAUCCAUGACCUUUACUUUGAGGAAAUUCAAAUGUUUCAAGCAGGCACACGACUUGAAUACAUUAACCUUGAAUAAUAAGAUAGGAACUCGGUUCUCUUUUGUUGGUUUCUAGAACUGUGGCAAUGAUUAAUAGGGAUAGUUGGGGGCAUUCGUAUAUAACUGUCAGAGGUAAAAUUUUUGGAUUUGUUAAAGGCGGACUACUGCGAAAGCAUUUGCCAAGGAUGUGUUCAUUA